GCCUGUGAGGGUUGCUGGAGGUAUCAGAAGUGCGAAUGCUGACAUAAGUAACGAUAAAGCGGGUGAAAAGCCCGCUCGCCGGAAGACCAAGGGUUCCUGUCCAACGUUAAUCGGGGCAGGGUGAGUCGACCCCUAAGGCGAGGCCGAAAGGCGUAGUCGAUGGGAAACGGGUUAAUAUUCCCGUACUUGGUGUUACUGCGAAGGGGGGACGGAGAAGGCUAUGUUGGCCGGGCGACGGUUGUCCCGGUUUAAGCGUGUAGGUGUGUGUUCCAGGUAAAUCCGGUUCACUUUAACACUGAGGCGUGACGACGAGGCACUACGGUGCUGAAGCAACAAAUGCCCUGCUUCCAGGAAAAGCCUCUAAGCAUCAGGUAACAUCAAAUCGUACCCCAAACCGACACAGGUGGUCAGGUAGAGAAUACCAAGGCGCUUGAGAGAACUCGGGUGAAGGAACUAGGCAAAAUGGUGCCGUAACUUC
rnacentral:rRNA from 1 species